UACGGAGGGUGCAAGCGUUAUCCGGAUUCACUGGGUUUAAAGGGUGCGUAGGCGGACAGGUAAGUCAGUGGUGAAAUCUCUGGGCUUAACCCAGAAACUGCCGUUGAUACUAUUUGUCUUGAAUAUCCUGGAGGUAGGCGGAAUAUGUCAUGUAGCGGUGAAAUGCUUAGAUAUGACAUAGAACACCGGUAGCGAAGGCAGCUUACUACAGGAUGAUUGACGCUGAGGCACGAAAGCGUGGGGAGCAAACAGG
rnacentral:rRNA from 1 species